GACGAACGCUGGCGGCGUGCUUAACACAUGCAAGUCGAACGAGAAAGGCUCUUCGGAGCUGAGUACAGUGGCGAACGGGUGAGUAACACGUGGGCAACCUGCCCCAGGGAGCGGGACAACCCGAGGAAACUCGGGCUAAUACCGCAUAAUUCGCACGGUCAUAAGGCCGUGCGGGAAAUGGUAGCUUCGGCCUCCGCCCUGGGAUGGGCCCGCGGCGCAGUAGCUUGUUGGUGUGGGUAACGGCCCACCAAGGCGACGAUGCGUAGCUGGUCUGAGAGGACGAUCAGCCACACUGGGACUGAGACACGGCCCAGACUCCUACGGGAGGCAGCAGUGGGGAAUCUUGCGCAAUGGGCGGAAGCCUGACGCAGCAACGCCGCGGGUGGGAAGACGGCUUUCGGGUUGUAAACUCCUGUUGACCGGGACGAAAGACCCUGUGGUGAACAACCGCGGGGAGUGACGGUACCGGUUGAGGAAGCCCCGGCUAACUCUGUGCCAGCCGCCGCAGUAA
rnacentral:rRNA from 1 species